CACGUAGGGCGCAAGCGUUGUCCGGAAUUAUUGGGCGUAAAGAGCUCGUAGGCGGUCUGUUGCGUCCGCUGUGAAAACUCGGGGCUUAACCCCGAGCCUGCAGUGGAUACGGGCAGACUAGAGGUAGGUAGGGGAGAAUGGAAUUCCUGGUGUAGCGGUGAAAUGCGUAGAGAUCAGGAAGAACACCGGUGGCGAAAGCGCUCUGCUGGACCUUAACUGACACUGAGGGACGAAAGCUAGGGGAGCGAAUGGG
rnacentral:rRNA from 1 species